rnacentral:lncRNA from 1 species
AGAGGGGAUAGAGGACACCAAGAAUCAACGUCAAGGGCACACAUAUGAACUCUCAAAGACUGAGGCAGCAUGCACAGGGCCUGAGAGCAGUCUCACUGAGGAAACAAACUACUCUUAAGGAUCGUGUAUAUUCAAGAAGUAAAAUCAAAGAUAAUUCACAAAAGCCAAAGCUAAAUAUUGUCCCUGAAGGGAGAAGAGGGUUCUACUUAACUCUUCACAACCAGCAUGAAGGAGGCUGGAGAGAAGGAAAGAAGGCUGAAAGGAAGGAUCUAGACCCCUGAGGAGCCUGAGGACAUGGUAAAACAAUAAAGGACUUCUCCAGGCAAAGUAGUCAUCUAACACAUCUGUCCCCACCCCACCCCCAGGAAGGGGCCUGUCUGCCUAUCCUACUAGAGGGAAGCAGAGGUAGGAAAGUGGCCUGGAUACAAACUCACAGAGGGAUCACAGAUCCCAGCCCCUCAGCUGCGGGAGGAGACCCAGGUGGUGACUCUCUUGGUUAUGACACUAAGCACUCAUUUCAUUCUCUGGGUGGCUGUCUUCUUAUUGCUUGCUGAGGUAUGAAAGUCCCCACCUCUUCACCCCAACUUGGGACAGACCUGGACGUUUCCCUCUGAGGCUCUGUGAAGACUUCAUCCCAGCUCAAUCGCCCAUUUUUCUCCAACUGCCUUCUAAUCUCCCUGGCCCUUGGUGCUCCUGAAUUUCAGAGCACCUUUCCGCGUAGCCAUCUUGAGGCACUGCUCUGAACUCUUGCUGCAUAACCAGUCUUUAUAACUUUCUGGUGUACAUGCCAGGAGCAACCUUCACCCAGUUUAUUCCUGAGGAAACUGAGGAUGAAGAGAAUGUGUAAGUAGCUGUUCAGGUUCUGAGGUACUCACAUCACUGGAAAUCGGAAGAGGAGACGGUCAUUUUGGUUCCUUGUGCCCUCUCACCCGCCACUCACUGUGCCUCAGAGUGAGGCAGAGAUUGCAUAGGUAUCACACAGAGCUGUAGAAGAGCUUCCUGAAGAUCUAUUAUUGGAGCUGUGUAAGGGUCUGUGGGACUUGCUUGACUCUUCACUCUGCCACCGAGACUUAUGGGGGAGGUGGGACUUGCUUUUCCCAUCUAACCGCAUCUUUCAGGGCUCAGCUUUCCUGUGGAUACAAGCACUGCUUACCUCUACAGAAGGAAGGUGUACACACAGUACGGAGAAUGAGACAGACAGGCUCCUCUUCCUCAAUAAAAGAGUGACCUUUUUGUUUGGUAUACACUUGAGACUGAGUGAUGCACAAAAACUGGGUGGCUGGUGUUUAUGCACUCUGCUCACUAUGUUAACUUACACAGAAGUCUGCAAGCUCACAGUAGCCGUAUCUGUACCGAGACUGAAGGAAUGACUAAGAUGAAGGUUGAAGUUUAGAGAGGAAAUUUUUCCAUUAGAAUGAAGCUCCCAAUUCAAAGGUAGGAUGGUGGCCACCUGUCCUCACUUUCUGGAAGAUUUUGAUUGAAACAGAGAAGAAUCUCUGACUUGCCGCGAUCGUUGGUCUCUCAACAAGGAAUGGUUUAUGGCUCAGCCCUGUUAAUUUCAGAGUGUUUUCCCCUGUAUGGAAGAUACUUUCUACUCUUUUAAAAGAUAUUCAUAUGAUGCUGUUCAUCUAGGAAGUUGACUAUUGAAACUGUGACAGGAAAAAAGUAGAAACGCAAAACUGUACCAGAGCUUAUAAUAUAGCUCUAUUUAAACCUUUCAUGUCUUCCACAUGGCGUUCUCUCUCUCCCUCCCUCUCCCUCUCCUUCUCCCUCUCCCCCCUUUCUUUCUCUGUUAUGAAUACAAAAUUUGGCAGUACAAAUAAUUUGUGGGCCACUGCCCCAUCAAUAAGCUUCUCGUAAAAUCCCAUUUUAAUGGUUGUGUGGCCUCCAAUGAGGCUGCUCAAUACUUUAACCACUUUCCAAUUGUUCGAUAUUUAGGUUAAUUUUUGUUAUUAAAGGUAAUGUUGCUG